UUCUGGAAGGAUUGACAGAUUGAGAGCUCUUUUUUGAUUCGGUGGAUGGUGGUGCAUGUCCGUUCUUAGUUGGUGGAGCGAUUUGUCUGGUUAAUUCCGAUAACGAACGACUCUAGUCUUCUAAAUGGGUGCGUGCUCUCUGCACCUUGCACCUUUCUCAGAGAGACAAGCGGCUCCUAGCAGCAGGAAACAGAGCAAUAUCAGGUCUAUGAUGGUCAUAGAU
rnacentral:rRNA from 1 species